CAGCCGCCGCGGUAAUACCAGCCCCGCGAGUUGUCGGGACGAUUAUUGGGCUUAAAGCGUCCGUAGCCGGGUUGGUUAGUCUCCCGGGAAAUCUGGCCGCUUAACGGUCAGAAUUCCGGGAGAUACUGCCAGCCUAGGGACCGGGAGAGGCCGAGGGUAUUCCCGGAGUAGGGGUGAAAUCCUAUAAUCCCGGGAGGACCACCUGUGGCGAAGGCGCUCGGCUGGAACGGGUCCGACGGUGAGGGACGAAGGCCAGGGGAGCAAACCGGAUUAGAUACCCGGGUAGUCCUGGAUGUAAACGAUGCGGACUUUGUGUCGGACAAGCUAUGAGCUUGUCCGGUGCCGGAGGGAAACCGUUAAGUCCGCCGCCUGGGGAGUACGGCCGCAAGGCUGAAACUUAAAGGAAUUGGCGGG
rnacentral:rRNA from 1 species